CCCUCUCAGUCUGUCAGUAUGAAGGUGUUAGAGGUGGGAGACUCAGUGAGUCAGUUCAGGUUGGCUGAGUCAUGUGUGGGGCUGGCAGGGUGUCUGUGCGUGGUCUACUCUGUUUGGACCCCUCGCUGGCUCAAUGACCAGGGACUGUGGUCUAUAGGCAACAACAGCACCAACACAGACAGUGAUGGUGACCAGACUGGGGACAUCAUCUUUAACGGAUUCUUCUUCCUCCUCAGCUGGUCCCUCUUCACCUACCAGCACCGGGUGGAGAUCAGCGAUGACUUCACAUGCCUGGGCUCCUCCUUUUGGCUGGGUACCCUGGGCUGGGCCCUGCUAUUGGUUGCUCUGCCUGUGGUCUUCCUGGUGGAGCAGUGUGUGGUCCCGGACAUCCUGCCAGAUCUCAUGAAGGCUGCCGAUGGGUGGCGGGGCGCCUCCCAGGUACCGUACGCCCAGUGCUCGUUUAUCGUGAGUCACCAGCGUUGUCAUGAAGACCAGAGUGAUGAAGACAUUGCGAGAGGGCUGAGGAGGUACAUGUCUGUACCCUGAGAGGAGGAAUAGAGAGGACACAGGACAGUGAUGGAGUAUUAGUGUAACCUUCUUCAGGCUCAGAGACUGAGCUGACUGCAGAAUGGGACUGGACUGGGCACACAGCUGAUAGGGGUCCAUGUUCACACUAGCAGUUCACCAGGGAGAGGAGCUUCUAGUCUGUGUCUGUAUCAGAGAUUUCUCCACUGUAGGAGAAUGUUUACAGACACACUCUGAGAAUAUGUAAUAUUAGACUAAUCAAAUCAAAUUUCAUUGGUUGUGCACACAUAUUUUGCAGAUGUUAUCGCAGAUGCAGCGAAAUGCUUAUGUUUCUAGCUCAAACAGUGCAGUAAUACCUAACAAAACAAAAUACACAAAUCCAAAAAAUAGCAGAACGAGCAAUGUCAGAGUCUGGAAUAUAUAUACCUUUCAAAAGUUUGGGGUCACAUAGAAAUGUCCUUGUUUUUGAAAAGCACAUUGUUUGUCCAAUUGCACAUUUCUUGUCCAUUGAAAUAACAUCAAAUUUAUCAGAAAUAGAGUGUAGAUAUUGCUAAUGUUGUUAAUGACUAUUGUAGCUGGAAACAGCUGAUUUUUAAUGGAAUAUCUACAUAGGCGUACAGAGGCCUAUUAUCAGCAACUAUCACUCCUGUGUUCCAAUGGCACGUUGUGUUAGCUAAUCCAAGUUUAUAAUUUUAAAGGGCUAAUUGGUCAUUAGAAAACCCUUUCGCAAUUAUGCUAGCACAGCUGAAAACUAUUGUUCUGACUAAAGAAGCAAUAAAACUGGCCUUCUUUAGACUAAAUGAGUAUCUGGAGCAUCAGCAUUUGUGGGAUCGAUUACAGGCUCAAAGUGGCCAGAAACAAAGAACUUUCUUCUGAAACGUGUCAGUCUAUUCUUGUUCUGAGAAAUGAAGGCUAUUCCAUGCGAGAAAUGUCCAAGAAAUUGAAGAUCUCGUACAACACUGUGUACUACUCCCUUCACAGUAGAGCGCAAACUGGCUCUAACCAGAAUAGAAAGAGGAUUGGGAGGCUGCGGUGCACAACUGAACAAGAGGACAAGUACAUUAAAAUUAUAAACUUGGAUUAGCUAACACAACGUGCCAUUGGAACACAGGAGUGAUGGUUGCUGAUAAUGGGCCUCUGUACGCCUAUGUAGAUAUUCCAUAAAAAAUCAGCCGUUUCCAGCUUACAAUAUCUACACUGUAUUUCUGAUCAAUUUGAUGUUAUUUUAAUGGACAAAAAUGUGCUUUUCUUUAAAAAACAAAGACAUUUCUAUGCCCAAACUUUUGAACGGUAGUGUACAUAUACACAAAUAUCAUGGUACGUGUAUAGACAGUAUAUGAAUAGAAAAGUUGUGUACAGGAGUAGAUAUAUAGGAUAAGCCUUGGAUAGAAUACAGUAUAUACAUAUAAAGUGGGUAAAACAGUAUGUAAGCAUUAUUAAAGUGACCAAAAGUGUCAAUGCUGAGAUAAAGGGUUCUUGUCAAGCAAGGAACAAUUUAUUAUUUGUAGUUGUUUGUUGCCAAGCACACUUUCAGUAAGAUUUUCUGUGUAGUAAAGGAAAUAUUUAUGUUACAAUAGCAGCCUCAUGUGGUGAGUAUGACCAAGGUUUGAUGUUGAAAAAGCUAUUUUUGAUACAGCUUGGCAGCAGUGUUCUGUUCGCAAGUAUUCAACAUUAAUUAGUGGAAAGUCACACAUUUUGGUUGUUUGUGUACAAAGUGGGAUCAGUACUUGUUGAAUUUAGAUGAAAGUUAUACAUACAUUUACAGUUUAACUAAUACUUCUAAGACAGUCCUAUGUGAAUGUGCAUUUUCUCAGUAAGCUUGAUACUCAUCACCACUAUAAAGUGACUGAUAUCACAAAGUUUUUGCAAUGGGACUGUGAUAUUAUUGAUAUUGUACCUUUAAAAAACAGAUGAAUAUACUGCUGCUUUUAUUUACUCAACCCUGUUAACCAGUAUCUCUACCAGGCUCCAGAUGUCUUCCUGGCAUCACCAGAGAACAGUGCCAUAGCACACUCCAGUCCAACAGAAAGCCUUAUUAUUACGCCCCUCUUCCCCUAUGAGCAGUAGAACCAUCACAUACAGCAGUACAGUUGAAUCAUGUCAGCCAUCUACUCAGCACUGCCAAGCUACUGUCUACCAGUCUCUCUCACAGCCCUUCUUAGUUCUCUCAGUCUUCUCUCUUCUCUUACUUCCCCAACAGGAGAGGAGAGAGUGGGCUGCCUGCCUGCCAUCAUGCCACAUGUUUACGUUCUGAUCCUUGUUAAAGUAGGGGAGAAUUAACAGGCUCUGACUUUGUUAAUUGGCCGCUAAUCAGGUGUUGCUCUAAUUAAAAGGCAGUUCCGCCCUGUUGGUGCCUGCUAAUGAGUGUGUUAUUAAAUCCACCAAGGAUUUGGGUCUCUUUUUCAAUUUAUCAACAGGGUAGAGAUUAAUUUGUGUUGGAAUGAGAGUGGAAUGUCAUUGAAGGUUGUCUUGCUAGAGAGUGUGUGCUAGAGAGUGUGAUCAAGAUCAAGUGCGCUCUUUCUCUCUACAUAGACAACAAACAUGCAGUGUGGUGCUGUGUUGUCAGUGUGUUGUGACAUAUUUUGUCUUGUGAUUUUGUGGUGUUGUGUUGUGGCGUGUGUAGUGUUGGUUUGUAAUGUGUUGUUGGGUCUUGUAUAGUGUUGUUGUGUGUGUAGUGCAAAUCCAAAUCAAAUCAAAUUUUAUUUGUCACAUACACAUGGUUAGCAGAUGUUAAUGCGAGUGUGGCGAAAUGCUUGUGCUUCUAGUUCCGACAAUGCAGUAAUAACGAGCAAGUAAUCUAACUAACAAUUCCAAAAAAAAACUACUGUCUUAUACACAGUGUAAGGGGAUAAAGAAUAUGUACAUAAGGAUAUAUGAAUGAGUGAUGGUACAGAGCAGCAUAGGCAAGAUACAGUAA
rnacentral:lncRNA from 1 species